GACAAGAAAACAAGGGGAAAGAAGUACCUAAUGAGAUUAUGAAGGAAGAAACUGACCGUGGACUUGCACAAGACCGACUGGACUCUGAUUGCUUCGAGGUGGGUAAAAAAUUACAUUAAGAAAUCGUCCCUACUAGGAACGAUUAGUUAAUGUAAAUUUUGGGCUCAACUCGUACCUUGAAUCCAAAAUUUUGGAUUUGGAAUUAACGGAAUUGGGCAGGUUUUUUGGGGGAAAGGUUACUAAAUUGGUAUAAAGGGGAGGGUGGAGAGUGUAUAUGGUGAACUUGGGUUAGUUUAGAGGAGUUAUGAUUUUUGGUUUGAAUCUUAGAUCCGAAAUAUGAGCAAUUUAGCGGGGAUUUGGGAAAAAAUAAUUGGGGAUCUAGGAUGAGGAGGGGGUGAGGAACCGCCAUAGGGCGAUUUCCAAAAACUAAUUUGGAGCAUGGGAACCGUCGUGGGGCGAUUUUCGGCGGGUGAUUUGUGGCGAGGCAGCAGGGGAAAUCCUAGGCGGCUAGAGUUUGAUCUGUUUAUAGAGAUGAGAGUAAAAU
rnacentral:lncRNA from 1 species